GUGCCAGCCGCCGCGGUAAUACGAAGGGGGCUAGCGUUGCUCGGAAUUACUGGGCGUAAAGGGAGCGUAGGCGGACAUUUAAGUCAGGGGUGAAAUCCCGGGGCUCAACCUCGGAAUUGCCUUUGAUACUGGGUGUCUUGAGUAUGAGAGAGGUGUGUGGAACUCCGAGUGUAGAGGUGAAAUUCGUAGAUAUUCGGAAGAACACCAGUGGCGAAGGCGACACACUGGCUCAUUACUGACGCUGAGGCUCGAAAGCGUGGGGAGCGAACAGGAUUAGAU
rnacentral:rRNA from 1 species